GGAGUUUGUUGGCUGCACUGAGGAUGGGUGUUGUGGUGUGCUAAAGGAAGAGGGCAGUCCUGUGUGGUGCUGCCCAUAGGAAACUCAGAGUGAAGGCAUGAUCUGAGAAUAAAAACAUCUGUUUUCAGAAAUGGAGAUUGUUUUAUUUUGUUAAGCUGCAGUAAUUACCCGGUAUAAGUCCACUGGUUCAAAACUCAUGAUGUAACCUCUGAGAGAUAAUGAAGCAAUAAUUUACCUGAUGAAUAUGAAAAAAGCUACUCCCACGUCUGAGGUGGAACCACAGCUGUCUCUAUAUUUAAAGUAUAUGUGAUUGCAAGUGGAUCCAUUCUGCCAUGAACAAGCACAAAGGGGUAUCAGAGAGCAAGAAGUUGCUCAGCUGUGGCUCAGUGACUCACAAGAGCUGAGAUAAAAAGUUCCAGACCAGAAGGGGUUGUGGCAAAUUGAGCUGACUUGGAAAAAUGGAAGAUAUUUUUAUGGAUGGAAUGAAGAGCUUCUGCCUAACUUCAGCAAAGCAGAUCAAAUAAAGCUACAGACUUUGUAAACCAUGAAAAUGUUUGGCCAUCCUCCCCAUGGGACUGUCAUUGCAUUUACUCUCAGAGUGUGAAUUAAAUGGAAUAACUGCAAGAGUUUAUGAAAGAAAGGCAGCUUGUUGUUUCACCUUUUGCAGUGGAGCCUACACUGAAGAACUAACUUCACUGGUCUGACCUCUGCAAGGCAAACUGUGAGCUGCCACUAAGGAAAGUUGCCUCUCUGCCACUUUGUGCUGUUUUUGGUCUGGUGACCUGUGCAGUGCAGAACUUCAUUCGUUGAGCAAUGGUGACCUGUGCAGUGCAGAAGUUCAUUCAU